AGGCAAAAUCAUCCUGACACCAACACAAAAGCAACUUACAAACGGGGAGCUUCCUAACACCAUCCCGACGCCAUUGCUUCUUCGUUUUCAUCCACCUCCUCCCUUUAGGUUAGAAGGGAGGGGUCUCCUCUUCGGGUUAGAAGAGGAGCUUCUUUCGACCAUCCACAGCCCUUCAUCGUCAUCCAGUAGCCCUCUUUCCUCUCCUCUUCGGGUUAGAAGAGGGGAGGACAGCUUCUGUCACUUCUAGUAGUUCCUUCUUCCACACCGGUGGUUCCAUCCACCUCUCCACUCUACUCUUCGGGUUAGAAGAGAAGAGGGCAGCCCCGUCACCACCUUUUGAGCUUCACACUCCCCUUUUCUUUGGGUUAGAAGAGGAGGAGAGUUUGUCAUUCUCUGACAGCCCUCUUCUCUACGGGUUCUUUAUUUGAUAUCCGUCGGCAUUCGCUCAUUCCAUCUAAUGAUCAGGGAGAAUCUUCUUUCGUCCGCAAGUUUGAGUGAUGUGCUUUUGGGUUAUCUUUUUUUGUGUUGGGUUGUUUAUUCAUGUUGAUUGUUGAAUUGUGUUUGAGUUGAAUUGUAGUGAAGUACUAAUUCCCCCAUGUUAAGAUUGCAUGUACUUAGUUUACUUUGAUUCAUGCAUGUUAAGUGUUCGAUGAAUUUUCCCAAUCACUUGUGUUUCUUCAUGUGUUGCUGUUAGGUUAGUUUAAUUAUUACUUGUCUUCUCUCUUUCGAUUACUUUAAGUUCUUGAUUUUAUUAUGAUGCAAUUAGAUUAGAUUAGUGUAGGUUUCGUUAAUGCUUUACUUUAUGUUUCUUUUAAUUCUCUUGCAAGUGUAGUUUAGUUAGGUUAGAUUUUAUUAAUUGCAUUGUCUUUCAUUUAUUAGGGGUAGUUUCAUACUUGCAUUAUUUUUCAUUUCUCACUAAUUAUGUGGUUUGUAUAGUUGUCAUUGGUUUGUACAUAGUUGCCAUAAUGGCGAAGAACAUGCUUGCCAACGAAGGCUUUGGCUCAUUUUACAAUGUUUGCUUCUGCUUGAUCAUCUCUUUUGGUGGAAGGUGUUGCCGAGAUAGGUAUGGUGGAAUUAGGCGAUCUUCAAUUGUCUUCUUACCUUGCAGAAACUACAUUCGGAGGAUAGUCAUACUUUUGGAAUGGUACCUUUAUAUAACUUAUAUUUUUUUUGCUAACAAGAUGUUGAUUGAAAUUCUUUUAUUCAAGGUAAAAAUCAUUUAGGUUUGCUUAUAUGAUACUUGAUAGUACCAAUUACCUAGCACUGCAUAUUGCUUCAUUUAACAUCAAAUCAAAUAGCAUCAUUGCUCAUCUUGCCGCAUUAGUUUCUUUUUGUUUUGGGUAUGAGUGGCUAUGAACAUGCUGCGCAAAUAUUAUUACAUCCUCUAUUUGGUUAUUGUGUUAAAUAAUGCCACUAGUGGGUUCCCUCUAACUCUUAAUUGUCAUUGUUUAUGGCUUGUAGGCAGGAUUGCCAACCAGGCUACGUCAAUGGUGAUCCAGUGUUCCAUUUAUUACUUUUGGCAUCAUAUUCACUUGCGGAAUUAUUUAUCUGGUCUAUUUGUUGGUUGGUUAUGACUCCUUUAGUCAGAUAUGAAUCUCACCUAUAGAAAUACACCGCAUAAAAGAUAAUAUAAUGAAUUACUCUAAGAUUCUUACAUCUGCUAAAGAUACAUUGCUAUAAUUUAAUAUCUGCUAGAUAAUGCCAAAACACUAAGAAUAUGUCAAUGGUAAUUUGUAAUAUUGUAUUUCUGCUAUAACUUUAUCAAGUGGCAUGUCAUCUUACUAGUUAAUUUAUUUUCAUAAAACAUAAAUUUCAUUUUAGCUCUUAAAUCCCUAACAUUUUUUCUUAUAUAUCUUGCAGUUUAGAGGAUGUAUACAUCUGCUCUUUUUCAUGGAUCUUUGCUCCAUGUUAUAUUCAAUAUGUUAACUUUGGUAGCCUUAGGCACUGAAUUGGAAUGAAUAAUGGGCUCUGUUCAACUUCUAUAUUUGAUGCUCUUGCAUGAUCCUAUAUGCAACGAUUAUCAUGGAAACAAGUUUGAGCGGCGUUCAAUCUAGAAGAUGAAUAUGGAAAGAAACUGAAUGUGGGAUUUUUUUUUUUGCCAAGAAUGAUACUCAUAUAUUUCUGAGAAGAUGUAAUAUUACUAGAAAGAUUCAAUCCAAGAAGCAAGAUAUGUUAGAACAAAUAUACAUAUCUAGUAUGUUGGGUUUUUUGCUUUUAUAUAGACUUAAAAUGGAUCCAAAAGUUUGUGAAUUAUAUCUAUAUAUUUUCUAUUUGAAUUGUAUAAUA